GAGGGUAUAGCUCCAGAGGUAGAGUGCAUGCUUAGCAUGCAUAAGGUCCUGGGUUCAAUCCCCAGUACCUCCU
rnacentral:tRNA from 1 species